UUUUUUUCUGUCUUUAAGAGUACAAAAGUAAAUUUGCUUUAUGAAUUCUCCUAAAUAAUGCAACCUUUCUGUUGUUUCAGUGGAGAAAUAUGACAGACGUCUCAUUUUUUUUUUAAAGUUAUAGCCUUCAGCAGACCUUGUAUUUUACCCUUUCUAGUCUUUCACUACCUCAGUAUGUCUGCGUUCUCAAUACCAACUUAGUCUCGGUCAAAUACAUUUUUCUUUUUAAAGUUUUCACUGUUUUCUAGACAUGAAGGAGAGGUGUUUGACUUUCCCCUUAACUUCUUACACAGAGUGAAGGCCCUGAACCUGAUUUAACCAGAGAAUGAGAAUCAGCAAAGUCCAAUGCCUGCAACCAAUGCUAGUCUAAUUUAUUGGCCAUAGUGAGUUGCAUGGGCUUCACUGCAAUUACAUCUUUCCUAAUCCAUCUUUAGCACAAACCCUGAAACACAAAUAGUGUUUAGAAGAUUUGAGAGAGUUUCGUGCAGUAUUGCAGGCCAGGCAAUGAAUAUCAUAACUUCUUGGAAAGCUCACAAGUUCCUUCCUCGAAUGACUUUUCUCCCUUUAUGAACAAAAAAGACUUUAGCUUGAUCUGAAUAAAAAAUUAUUUCAGGAUAUUUGUGGUAAAUUGUCAAGAGAAUGCUUUUGCAGGGUCAGGAGCAAAAGAACCAGCACCCACAGGGCCUUUGGAACAGAUAAAGUCUGAAAAUGUUAAAUCCCUGAAUAAGGUGUCUGCCCUUAGUUCAUCUGUCCUUUCCCCAUGUCAGUUUUAUUCUGCUUCACAAAGAAAAGUCAGGAUGACUGCGUAAUGUCUCGUAUUUUGAUCCAAAAUGAAAUGGGCUUCCCAGCACAUAUUUCCUGGCUGAGCAUGUUAGUGUGUGGAUUGGUCAAAGCAGCUUCUCUCGCUGCAUGCAGGAUGCUUUCUUUGCAGCAUCUCCUCCACAGUUACUGGUUUUGUUGUUCCUCAUGUGUGAAGCUCCUUGGUUUCUGGCCAGAUUAGAUGAGGGAGAGCAUAAAAGGGGAUGCCAAGAGUGGAAAUAGGCAUAUGUGAAAGACCUUUCACUGCUGUUUCUGCUAGGAUGUUGCUGAAACAGUGAACAAGAGUAAGGAUUAGCAGAACAGGAGAUGGAUGCUUGUGUCCUCAUGUGAGGCUAUUGCUGCCCUUGUACAACUGUUAAUCGCAACAUUUCCAGAGCCAGAACACACCUCCCCAGUCCUCAGCAUCUGCACUCUGCCUCCAGCAGUACAUCAGGUGUGAAUGACCAGUGCGCAUAGAUGGUAAUUAUCAGGUAUGAGAUUUUAAAACCAUAUUUGUUAAGUAAGUCAUAACAGUAGCCAACUCUUGUCCAGAAUAAAUCCCAGUUUUUCUAGAUGGCAAUGUCAAAAGACAAUCUAGGAAGAGGCGCAAGCAUGAACGAGACAGUGCUCGGCCAGAUGGCUUCCAAUGCCGUACAAUUACGUGUUUUUAGUGGAAUUCGUUUAAAAGGAAAUGAACGCGUGAAGAAGGGAAGGAGAAUGCUGAAGGCAGGACAGAGGCAGAAGGAAAGGUAAAGGGAAGGACAUGAAAGGUGGAGAGGAGCAGUGCGAUUGAGGUGAAAAGGCUGAGCGAGGGAAGAAGUUGUAGGGAACACCAACCAGUGCAGAGCAAGGGGAGUCCUGCCAGAGCGCUGCCACACCAGGCUGGCAUGGCUUUAUGCCCCAGCCAAAGCUCUGCUAAAUCCCUUUGUGCUUCUUGCCUGAUUUUACUUGGUGAUGAUGCAACCCAGUUAGUGACAUCACAUAAAUACACCUACCAGUGGUGUUGCAGAGUCUAGAUUGUGACCGGCAGAUUAGUCAGUGGUGUCACAAUCCAGUGUUUAUAUCAUUGUCUCCUGAAUGUGGAAGUGAUUGCUAUGGCGAUAACCAAGUUUUCAUCGGUGUAUCAGGCUGUUAAGAAAAGCCAUCCCUUUUGCAAAGGCAAACAGCUUUCAGUUACUUGGAAUAAAAUCAUAGUAAACUCGAAUUAAGUAGGAAUACCAAGUGUGGCAUGUUACUAAGAUUUUAGCAAUUUGGGUGCAAUGUAAACAUGUGACUGAACUCCAGCACAUACUGCGUCUGGGUCACCUACGGCUACAGGGCAGUAUUAUAUUUUAUUGUUAAUGAAAAGUUUGCACCUGUGCCAAAAAGCAGUGAUUGUGUCUGCAUAUCCCAGAAUUCUAUGAACAGACGCAGGGAAUGUGAGGACUGAAUGACACCUGACAAAGUCAGCAGUCCUUCCCAGAGCUUGUGAUUUGGAGCUAGUUUUGUAAUUUGUUUUGGAAGCAAAGCGAGUUAUACUUGUUUGGGAAAAUGUAACUUUCUGACAUCUUCAUCAGAUUAUAGUAUUUUUUUCAUAUGUGAGGACAGGUAAGAAAUUUUUUUCUAUGUAAUCUUGAAUUAGAUUUUUUAAAACUGUUUAAAAAUGCAGAAUACCUUUUACUGGAUGUCAUAAAGAACAAUUUACGUCAGUUCAUUUCACUUCGUAGAGCGAGAUCCUACUUCAGUAAUGAAUGAUAUUUAUCUUUGUCAUCCUAGUGGCUAUGUUUGCAGAUCUAAACAAAGCAUUUUGUUUCUAGAAUGCUAGUUGUAAUCCAGUCAGAGGAUAUUAAGCAACUUCCAGGAUUAGACCCUUAGUUAAAGUUUGUUCUCUUCAGUUUCAUAUUUCCUUCGGUCGGCUGCUUGAAUUGUCCUUCUAUAGUUUUGCAUUGGAGUAUAUCCUGUACAAAUAGGGAAGAGAUUUUGACCUAGAAGGAGAGACCUCUUAUUAGUGAGCAUACUUUUAAAUUACAGUAGCUAUCAGAAGCAUCUUGACAUUUGAUAGAUAGCAUCGUUGCUGUAUGGGUUUGAUUCAACUUGUUACUUAAACAAGCAACCUCCCACCCUUAUUUCUCAAGGAGAAGCUGAAGAUCUUUCUGAUUUAAUUUCAUGCAUGCCACUUUGGGUAUAUCUAGUGUGUUUGUGAUGUUGCUGCUGGUGUUAAACUGGAGGAUUUCGAUGCAUUUGCAUGAGUAACUGCAUUGUAAACCUCCCUUUCUCCACCAAGCCAGGUUCAUCUGUAAGGCACCAAACGACACAUGGAUCUACUGCCCUUCGGCAGAUGCUGUAGUGCUUGUGCAAAUGCACAGAAUCACAGAAUCAAUCAGGUUGGAAAAGAUCUCUGAGGUCAUUGAGUCCAACCUAUGACCAAUCACCACCAUGUCAACUAGACCAUGGCACCGCGUGCCUCGUCCAGUCUUUCCCUGAACACCUCCAGGAACGGUGACUCCAUCACCUCCCUGGGCAGCCCCUUCCUGGGCAGCCCCUUCCAAUGUCUAAUCAGUCUUUCUAUGAAGAAAUGGCCCCAAACGUUCAAUCGGAAUCUCCCCUCGGGCAGAUUAAGAUAUGCAUUAAAGACAAUUCAUACAA